rnacentral:rRNA from 1 species
GACGAGCGCUGGCGGCGUGCCUAACACAUGCAAGUCGAACGGAAAGGCCUCUUUCGGGGGGUACUCGAGUGGCGAACGGGUGAGUAACACGUGAGUAACCUGCCCUUGACUUUGGGAUAACUUCAGGAAACUGGGGCUAAUACCGGAUAGGAGCUCCUGCUGCAUGGUGGGGGUUGGAAAGUUUCGGCGGUUGGGGAUGGACUCGCGGCUUAUCAGCUUGUUGGUGGGGUAGUGGCUUACCAAGGCUUUGACGGGUAGCCGGCCUGAGAGGGUGACCGGCCACAUUGGGACUGAGAUACGGCCCAGACUCCUACGGGAGGCAGCAGUGGGGAAUAUUGCACAAUGGGUGGAAGCCUGAUGCAGCAACGCCGUGUGCGGGAUGACGGCCUUCGGGUUGUAAACCGCUUUCGCUCAUGACGAAGCUUUGUGUGACGGUAGUGGGUAAAGAAGCACCGGCUAACUACGUG